UACGAGGGGGGCUAGCGUUGCUCGGAAUCACUGGGCGUAAAGCGCACGUAGGCGGACUCUUAAGUCGGUGGUGAAAUCCUGGAGCUCAACUCCAGAACUGCCUUCGAUACUGAGAGUCUUGAGUCCGGGAGAGGUGGGUGGAACUGCGAGUGUAGAGGUGAAAUUCGUAGAUAUUCGCAAGAACACCAGUGGCGAAGGCGGCUCACUGGCCCGGUACUGACGCUGAGGUGCGAAAGCGUGGGGAGCAAACAGG
rnacentral:rRNA from 1 species